CAACAUUCAUUAUAAGUAGAAGAAGAACUACUGUUGUUAGCCAGCUAUGCUAACAUCCAACAGAACAUGAUGCUACUCGGCUAAAUGCUUUCGGAUCAAGUCUUCUACUACACACGUGGUUUUGUUUCGUUUAUAACAAUUGUCGGCAGAAGUAAAGCAAGUCGCCAUCUUCCGUAUUCGGUCUUCGCUGCGUUCUCGGAGAAGUUAGCUUCACUAAAGCGUUUGAAUGGAAAUGUCUACAAUCCAGAGUUUAAGACAGUUUAUCAACGAGAGGUUACAAACUGCUGCUGAAGACAUAUUAGGAUGUUUUGAAGCGACUGUCGCAAAGUACGAGGAUGAGAUCGGUCGUCAGCGCAGACUGCUGGAUGUAACUUUGAAACCUGUAGUAAAGCUGCAGAGAAUAGAGCUCCCACAGCGACAUGUCUGUAUCAAGGAAGAGAUUCCUGCUGACCUGCUGGAGAGGAACCCCAGUCCAGACCAAGAGGAGCCAGAACCUCCACAGAUUAAGGAGCAACAGGAGGAGCACUGCAUCGAGCUCCCAGAGCAACACUUUCUGAAUGAGGAAGAGUUUCCAUCUGAUCAGCAGCUCUGGAGCCUUGAGAGGAACCCCAGUCUGGACCAAGAGGAGCCAGAACCUCCACAUAUUAAAGAGGAGGAGGAGAUUUGCAUCAGUCUGGAAGUAGAGCAGCUUGUACUGAAGCAGGAGGAUCAAGAUAACCUUUUGUUGAAUCCUACUUUCAAGGAAAGUGACCACAGUCAACCAGAACCAAGUGACCACCAGCUCCUCUCCCACAGCUCAGCUCAGAGCCAAGAUCUCAAAGGAGGCCAGCAUGGAAACUCAACAUCAGUUAGUAAUGCAGAGCAGGCAUCAGAAAAGGGACAUCAUGUCAUCACAAGAGAAAAAGAAAGCACAAGUCCCAGUAACCUUGCAUGUAGCACUACCAUGUCAAAGAUUGUGCCGAAUAUCUGCAAGAGCAAAAAGGUUUUCCAGUGUGACACUUGUGGAAAAGUCUUUAAGUGGAAGUCACGAUUAAAUGGACAUCUGAAGGUGCACACAGAUGACAAACCAUAUCUUUGCAAAACCUGUGGAAAAAGAUUUUGUUACAAGUCAAAACUAAAAACACAUUUGAGAGUCCACACAGGGGAGAAACUGCAUUCUUGCGAAAUUUGUGAAAAAAGUUUCACAAGUAGCACAUAUUUGAAGAUCCACGAGAGAACACACACGGGCCAGAGACCUUUUUCUUGCAAAACUUGUGGGAUAAGUUUUAGUGCGAGAAAUACCCUGAAGAGACACGAGAGAACGCACACGGACGAGAAACCCUUUUCUUGCAAAACUUGUGGGAAAAGUUAUACACGUGGAUGUAAGUUGAAAGUCCACAUGAGAAGCCAUAAAGGUGAGGAGCCGCAUCCCUGUACAACUUGUGGGGAAAGAUUUGUUAGCAAAUCACUUUUAACAAAACAUUUGAGUACCCACACAAAGCAAAACUGAUAUUUUUGUAAAAUGUUGGAAAGAUCUCUGACUUGCCAGUUUAUACAAAGUCCACAGGAGAAUACAUCCAGUUGAGAAGCCACACCAUGGCCACACGAGAGGGAUACGAUUUGCUCAAGCGUUGUCAAAUAAGUUGUUACUUAGUUAUUUAUUCAUUAAUUAGUGAUACAACAGUUAGCGAAAGCGACACCGGAAAUGUUUCCAGGGGACCAAAAAAGUGAUGAACCUAGUUGUAGUUCAAUGCUUUAUGAAGUUCCAUCACCACUGAUGAGGAGCAGACUUCAAUAACUUCACAAAGCAUUGAACUACAGCCAGGUUCAUCACUUACAUCUACACAAGAGAGAUUGUCUACAUUUGCAUUUGCUGCAUCUCUGUAACUGAAUGUGGAAAAUAUCCCAUUGAGGAGACAUCACAAUAUCUUUGAUGCAGUACAUGGUCAACAACAUUUGCUGAAGUACCCACGUUUCUGUUCUUCAUGUGACUCAUUGAUAUUUACAAAUGCAAAGGAAGUGAUGUUUUCACCCAUGUCUCUUUGUUUAUUCAUUUAUCAGCAAUUUAUACCAAAUGGUGCAGGAAGGGGACGGGGGUGAGAGAAAUUGAUUGGGUUAAAGUGGCAGAUCCAGGAUAUUUUAUUAUCACUGAAUGUUGAGAGAUUGUUGUCAAUGUUUCUGGAAAGACUGUGGAUCAAAGUGUAAAAAUCGGACAUAUUUCUGGUACAGAGAUUUAUAAGAACACAGUAUGUGGUGCAGAUUAUCAGAUGACUUCCCUUUUUCUUUUCUCUGUUUAUUACAAAACAAUAAAAUCUCUUGUUAAUGUGUACACAGUCCUAAAUGACUGUUACUGUAAAUGGUUGUUCUUUUGUACUUCGUGUAUUCAAUACUCCAGUGCAUUUGCAUUUUAUUAAAGUUUCUUGAAUUAU